rnacentral:rRNA from 1 species
AUUGAACGCUGGCGGCAGGCCUAACACAUGCAAGUCGAACGAGUGGCGGACGGGUGGGUAAUGUCUGGGAAACUGCCUGAUGGUGGGGGAUAACUACUGGAAACGGUAGCUAAUACCGCAUACCAUCAGAUGUGCCCAGAUGGGAUUAGCUUGUUGGUGGGGUAACGGCUCACCAAGGAGAGGAUCCCUAGCUGGUCUGAGAGGAUGACCACCCACAUUGGAACGUAGACACGGUCCAGACUCCUACGAGAGGCAGCAGUGGGGAAUAUUGCACAAUGGGCGCAAGCCUGAUGCAGCCAUGCCGCGUGUAUGAAGAAGGCCUUCGGGUUGUAAAGUACUUUCAGCGGGGAGGCGUUACCCGCAGAAGAAGCACCGGCUAACUCCGUGCCAGCAGCCGCGGUAAUUC